UACGUAGGGGGCAAGCGUUGUCCGGAAUUAUUGGGCGUAAAGAGCUCGUAGGCGGUCUGUUGCGUCCGCUGUGAAAACUCGGGGCUUAACCCCGAGCCUGCAGUGGAUACGGGCAGACUAGAGGUAGGUAGGGGAGAAUGGAAUUCCCGGUGUAGCGGUGAAAUGUGUAGAGAUCGGGAGGAACACCGGUGGCGAAGGCGGCCUUCUGGACGGUGACUGACGCUGAGGCGCGAAAGCGUGGGGAGCAAACGGG
rnacentral:rRNA from 1 species